rnacentral:rRNA from 1 species
AUGUGCACCGUAGGGGGUUCGGUGUCCGCGGCCGCGCCGCUGCUGACCUUCGCACUGCUGGUGGAUGAGUGGUGCGCAGCCAUGCUUCCGCCCUGGGGCAUGUCCUGCUUCUCCAUGCUGCAUAGCUUCGCGUGGUGUGUAAGGGGGUACAACAAGGAAGAUGGUCAUCCAGCCUACGCCAUGGUGGUGCAGAACGCGGUUGGCGCUGUGUGCUCCUUGGUCCUGCUGUACCUUGCCUGGCAUUGGCCCCCAGCACCCACGGCACAGGGCAGGGAUGCCCGGGGGAACCCCGUCAACCCCCCUGACCUCGUGGAAGUGGUAACGGAAGCUGGCUCCCCUCCCCCUGCGCCGACACAGACCCACGGCGGCGUCCGCCACCGCAGGAGCGCCGCCACUGACGACGAGGCCCGGGCAGUGCUCAUCAACCCAGACCUCGUCCAUGUGGCAAAGGCAGCAGGAACCGCCUCCGCGCCCCCUCCACUGACACAAGCCCAAAUCCAGGAACUCGAGAGGAUCGCCGCUGAAGAUCAGCUCCGGAGAGGCCUCCUCAACCAAGACCUAGUCGCAGUGGCAGCCGGCAAACAGCACGAGGAAUGA